rnacentral:rRNA from 1 species
GAAAGGCAGCGGCGGCACCGCGUCCGGUCCUCGAGCGUAUGGGGCUUUGUCACCCGCUCUGUAGGCCCGGCCGGCGCUUGCCGAUCAACCCAAAUUUUUAUCCAGGUUGACCUCGGAUCAGGUAGGGAUACCCGCUGAACUUAAGCAUAUCAAUAAGCGGAGGAAAAGAAACCAACAGGGAUUGCCCCAGUAACGGCGAGUGAAGCGGCAAGAGCUCAAAUUUGAAAGCUGGCUCCUUCGGGGUCCGCAUUGUAAUUUGUAGAGGAUGCUUCGGGAGCGGUCCCCAUCUAAGUGCCCUGGAACGGGACGUCAUAGAGGGUGAGAAUCCCGUAUGGGAUGGGGUGUCCGCGCCCGUGUGAAGCUCCUUCGACGAGUCGAGUUGUUUGGGAAUGCAGCUCUAAAUGGGUGGUAAAUUUCAUCUAAAGCUAAAUAUUGGCCGGAGACCGAUAGCGCACAAGUAGAGUGAUCGAAAGAUGAAAAGCACUUUGAAAAGAGAGUUAAAAAGCACGUGAAAUUGUUGAAAGGGAAGCGCUUGCGACCAGACUCGCUCGCGGGGUUCAGCCGGCAUUCGUGCCGGUGUACUUCCCCGCGGGCGGGCCAGCGUCGGUUUGGGCGGUCGGUCAAAGGCCCUCGGAAGGUAACGCCCCUAGGGGCGUCUUAUAUCGAUGGGU